GAUGAACGCUAGCGGCAUGCCUAACACAUGCAAGUCGAGGGAUAAGCCUUCGGGCUUGAUCUGCCGCACGGGGUCGUAAACCGUAUACUAUCUCCUUUUUACCUAGCCAUAUCGCGGGGAAAUUUUAAUUAAUACCUAAUGGAAUAUAACAUUGGCAUCAUUUUUACAUGAAAGCUUUGUUGGUGGAAGAUGUGUUUGCGUUCUAUUAGCUAGUUGGAUAGGUAAAGGCUUCCGAAGGCUACGAGAGAUAGUGGUUCUGAGAGGGAUGUCGCCCAGACUGGUACUGAGAUACGGACCAGACUCGUAGGGGCGGCAGGAGUGAGGAAGAUAGGGCAAUGAUCGGAAGACUGAUCCAGCGCGGCAGCGUGCAGGACGACGGUACUAUGGAGUGUAAACUGAUUUUGUAAGGGAAGAAUAAGGAGGAAGUGUACUUUGAUGACGGUACCUUACGAAUAAGCAUCGGCUAACUCCGUG
rnacentral:rRNA from 1 species